GAAUGAGGCUGUGAAGAAUUCAACAUGGCAGCAUCCGUAUUUACAUCACCUCAGGAUGUUUAUGGGUUUUAACAUCAUAAAAUAUAGCAGACAGAUACCUCAUCCCCUUCCAUGAAGUGGAAAAUGAAAAAGCACUGGAAAAUUUCAAUGAUUUCCAUAAAUGUUUUUUUUUGAUUAAAUAAUAA